rnacentral:rRNA from 1 species
GAUGAACGCUGGCGGCGUGCCUAAUACAUGCAAGUCGAGCGAACAGACGAGGAGCUUGCUCCUCUGACGUUAGCGGCGGACGGGUGAGUAACACGUGGAUAACCUACCUAUAAGACUGGGAUAACUUCGGGAAACCGGAGCUAAUACCGGAUAAUAUAUUGAACCGCAUGGUUCAAUAGUGAAAGACGGUUUUGCUGUCACUUAUAGAUGGAUCCGCGCCGCAUUAGCUAGUUGGUAAGGUAACGGCUUACCACGGCAACGAUGCGUAGCCGAACUGAGAGAGUGAUCGGCCACACUGGAACGGAGACACGGUCCAGACGCCUACGGGAGGCAGCAGUAGGGAAUCUUCCGCAAUGGGGGAAAGCUUGACGGAGCAACGCCGCGUGAGUGAUGAAGGUCUUCGGAUCGUAAAACUCUGUUAUUAGGGAAGAACAAAUGUGUAAGUAACUAUGCACGUCUUGACGGUACCUAAUCAGAAAGCCACGGCUAACUACGUG